GACGAACGCUGGCGGCGUGCCUAAUACAUGCCAGUAGAACGCUGAAGCUUGGUGCUUGCACCGAGCGGAUGAGUUGCGAACGGGUGAGUAACGCGUAGGUAACCUGCCUGGUAGCGGGGGAUAACUAUUGGAAACGAUAGCUAAUACCGCAUAAGAGUAGAUGUUGCAUGACAUUUGCUUAAAAGGUGCAAUUGCAUCACUACCAGAUGGACUUGCGUUGUAUUAGCUAGUUGGUGAGGUAACGGCUCACCAAGGCAACGAUACAUAGCCGACCGGAGAGGGUGAGCGGCCACGCUGGGACUGAGACACGGCCCAGACUCCUACGGGAGGCAGCAGUAGGGAAUCUUCGGCAAUGGACGGAAGUCUGACCGAGCAACGCCGCGUGAGUGAAGAAGGUUUUCGGAUCGUAAAGCUCUGUUGUAAGAGAAGAACGAGUGUGAGAGUGGAAAGUUCACACUGUGACGGUAUCUUACCAGAAAGGGACGGCUAACUACGUG
rnacentral:rRNA from 1 species